rnacentral:rRNA from 1 species
GACCAUACAAGCCCGAGCGGUAGAGAUCUUUCGGGAUCUUGAGAGCGGCGUACGGGUGCGGAACACGUGUGCAACCUGCCUUUAUCUGGGGGAUAGCCUUUCGAAAGGAAGAUUAAUACCCCAUAAUAUACUGGAUGGCAUCAUUCGGUAUUGAAAACUCCGGUGGAUAGAGAUGGGCACGCGCAAGAUUAGAUAGUUGGUGAGGUAACGGCUCACCAAGUCUGCGAUCUUUAGGGGGCCUGAGAGGGUGAUCCCCCACACUGGUACUGAGACACGGACCAGACUCCUACGGGAGGCAGCAGUGAGGAAUAUUGGACAAUGGGUGAGAGCCUGAUCCAGCCAUCCCGCGUGAAGGACGACGGCCCUAUGGGUUGUAAACUUCUUUUGUAUAGGGAUAAACCUACCCUCGUGAGGGUAGCUGAAGGUACUAUACGAAUAAGCACCGGCUAACUCCGUGCCAGCAGCCGCGGUAAUACGGAGGGUGCAAGCGUUAUCCGGAUUUAUUGGGUUUAAAGGGUCCGUAGGCGGAUCUGUAAGUCAGUGGUGAAAUCUCACAGCUUAACUGUGAAACUGCCAUUGAUACUGCAGGUCUUGAGUGUUGUUGAAGUAGCUGGAAUAAGUAGUGUAGCGGUGAAAUGCAUAGAUAUUACUUAGAACACCAAUUGCGAAGGCAGGUUACUAAGCAACAACUGACGCUGAUGGACGAAAGCGUGGGGGAGCGAACAGGAUUAGAUACCCUGGUAGUCCACGCCGUAAACGAUGCUAACUCGUUUUUGGAGCGCAAGCUUCAGAGACUAAGCGAAAGUGAUAAGUUAGCCACCUGGGGAGUACGAACGCAAGUUUGAAACUCAAAGGAAUUGACGGGGGCCCGCACAAGCGGUGGAUUAUGUGGUUUAAUUCGAUGAUACGCGAGGAACCUUACCAAGGCUUAAUGGGAAAUGACAGGUUUA